UGAAAAUAAAUAUCAAAACUAUUGCGGUUGUAAUGAAACGAGCCAAGCCUACAACGCCAUUCCAUAGAUUGUUUACCUUAGUCCAGAUCGGAUAACCCUUCUCGGUCAAGAACUUUUGAGCCACGUUCAUCGCUUCAAGUUUCUCAGCUUUAGUACAUCCUCGGCCGAUCCAAACAAAGAGUCCCGAUCCUGCAGUAUCGAGGAUAAAGCAAUCCUGGGCCACACUGCAAAAUUUUGGAUGCAACUUAUGCGCAAAGCAGAGACUCACCGAAUUUUCGCUUUCAUCGUUCUUCGAAAUCAAACAGUUAAUUGUUGGCGUAUUAGUGAAAGCAAGAAGCGCAAUAAAAAAAAAAAUCAAACGGUUAAUGCGUUUA